AGAAAGACAUGAGGCGGAUGAGGGUUUCAGUAGCCAAAUCAAGGCUGCCUCUUGUGGACAAAACAGUACACACACCCUCCCCUGGACCUCCUUAGGAGCCAUGAUCCUUUUUGAACACUAAGAAUGGAGCAGAAGAGAUGUCAGCAUCCUGAAUAUCUUCUAAAUCUCAUGAUCCUUUCUGUGCUUUUGCUUUGAACUUGCACAGAGGUCUUCAGUGCUGGAUAUGAACAUGAAGCGCAGGGAAAAGAAGCAACCGGAAUCACAACAAAAGUGAAAGUGAAGCUUUUCAGAG